UAUUGGCAGCAGCUCCAAGUUCUGCAACCAACACACCACCCCGCCCCGCACUCCCAAAGCACCCGGGUGACAGGGACACGGGCCAAGAUGCUCCAGGAGGGUCCGGAGGAGGAAAAAAAACUAGGGGGUGAUUAUUAGAUCACAGCAGGGCUAUAGAGUAACUGCAGGGAGAAGAGAAGAGGUGGGAGGCUGGUAAACAAGGGCACAGUUCUGGAGGGAGCACUGGCGGGUGUACGUGUGUGUGUUUAACUCACACGCACACAAAUGUACAGAUGUAACCCGAGCCACUGCACGUUCGGACACCCCUGGCAGUUUCUAUCUAAACAACGGCACAGAUUGUUCGGAAGACAAGUGGCUAGCGGAAGGGAGAGAAAAGCACACGCGCGGGUGUUCGCGCACACGCACAGCAGCAGGCAUGUCAGCAGGUUGCCGCGCAGCGCAAGCCAGCCAGGUGAUGCAGUUUGCAAAUGGGUUCGUGUCAGCACCCAGUGGGCCAGAUUCCGUUCCCCAGGAUGCUGGUGAAGGGUCUUCCACAAUUUGGCUGUAACAAAUCCAAAGGAGGUUUCCUUAUUGAGGCAGCCGGCUGCUGACGGACCCUGGCGUUCCCUGGUUCCCAGGCUAACCAACAAUCCACCUUUGCUGCCCAGCGUCACCAUGUAGACCCUGGCCUCGAACCCGCAGUUUCAAAAGCAGCUAUACAUUAGACACCGUUGCUCUGGCUUUGUGCUGGCAGAAGUGAGAGAUGUAUCAGACCCGGUGUCCUGAGGGUGCGCCCCAGCUCUAUCUAUAGUCCAGAAAGUGCUUGGUAGGGACGGGCAGCAUGGCCUAAUGGAGAACACCAUGGAUAAGCCCUCAGCAGUGGUGGGUUCUAGUCCCAGCCCUGCUCCGAGCACCUCACCUUCCCCUUCUGUAAAAUGGGGAUAAUGAAACUGACCGCCUUUGUAAAGCGCUUUGAGAUCUACUAAUGAAAAGUGCUACGUACGGUUAAUACCCGGAGUGCGCAUCUCUGGUUUAAGCCUGGGUGGAACUGUAGGAAACUGCAUGUUACAAAUCAAGGAGCAAUUUUUAUUGGACACCAUCAUAACUGCUCAAGCAUAUUCACAUCAAGGCGCAGUGACUCCAGACCUCCAGUACCAUAAACGAAACGAACUCCAGUGAUCAACAGCAAAAAAAAAAACCCCAAAUACACACUUAAUAAUUUAAUACCCCCAGCCGAGGGCACC